rnacentral:ncRNA from 1 species
GAUCGCCUGUGAAAAAUUGCAGCUUCCUGUCAAAAGAUAGGUUGAAAAACAAGGUGAAUUCGGGGAAGCCCUUAUGGGGUAAUCCCGAGCCAAGACCAGCCCUUUUGCAAAAAGAGCUGGUAAGGUGUAGAGACUAUCCAUUUUGGAGUAGUUCUGCAAGUUGCGGGACGAAGCGCCUUGAUCCUAAGUUCUGAUUAUCUUCAGAAUAUGGAUAUGAUAUAGUCCACACUUCUAGUAAUAGAAGA